AGCCUUGCACAGUGGCAGUAUCGUAGCCAAUGAGGUUUAUCUGAGGCGCGAUUAUUGCUAAUUGAAAGAUGUGUCCAUCAGGAGUUCCAAAGGGAAAUAUUAGAAUUGGGGUGAGGCAAUAUUUUUAAAAAAACAGUU
rfam:Canis lupus familiaris chromosome 25, whole genome shotgun sequence.